UACGAAGGGGGCUAGCGUUGCUCGGAAUCACUGGGCGUAAAGGGCGCGUAGGCGGCGUUUUUAAGUCGGGGUGAAAGCCUGUGGCUCAACCACAGAAUGGCCUUCGAUACUGGGACGCUUGAGUAUGGUAGAGGUUGGUGGAACUGCGAGUGUAGAGGUGAAAUUCGUAGAUAUUCGCAAGAACACCGGUGGCGAAGGCGGCCAACUGGACCAUUACUGACGCUGAGGCGCGAAAGCGUGGGGAGCAAACAGG
rnacentral:rRNA from 1 species